AUUCAUGGACUAAAUAUAAGGGCUGGCAUAAGGUUCUGUAAAAAUGGAAUAUGAUGGGGGAUGCGAGAUAGGAGAUUAUCCAUCACCUUUCAUGGCAGAGCCAGAGGAAAAGCUGUGGGCCACAACUGGAAGUAAAGAACAAUAUAGAAGGAAGCAGUGACAACUGUAUUUGGAUAGCUGUUAGAUUUCCUCGGUGAAUCCUGUGAUAGGACAUAGCUAAGACAGUUCUAGGAUGUAAGAAAGGUGAUGGCUCUCUAUUCCAUUUGUUAUUUGCCUCCAAUAACCUUUCUGUCAUAUUUUCUGAAACUCCUUGCCAACCUGCAAGGACACAUUAAGGUAAAUUAAAUGAUAUUACUCUAACUGAUUAUUUUAAAAUUAGUUCUUAAAUGUAUACACAAAUUGAUAUAUGAUACUAUUGCUUAAAAGUCUGUUAAAAAGUAAUUAGCACUUCCACCAUUAAACUUCACAUUUUGAAUCCUGUUAUUUCUUUAGUCAUGUUUUGAUUCUUCUGGAAUGUCUUGUUUGAAAUAUAUAUUUG
rnacentral:lncRNA from 1 species